AGUGAACGCUGGCGGUAGGCCUAACACAUGCAAGUCGAACGGCAGCACAGUAAGAGCUUGCUCUUACGGGUGGCGAGUGGCGGACGGGUGAGGAAUACAUCGGAAUCUACUUUUUCGUGGGGGAUAACGUAGGGAAACUUACGCUAAUACCGCAUACGACCUACGGGUGAAAGCAGGGGAUCUUCGGACCUUGCGCGAUUGAAUGAGCCGAUGUCGGAUUAGCUAGUUGGCGUGGUAAAGGCCCACCAAGGCGACGAUCCGUAGCUGGUCUGAGAGGAUGAUCAGCCACAAUGGAACUGAGACACGGUCCAGACUCCUACGGGAGGCAGCAGUGGGGAAUCAUGGACAAUGGGCGCAAGCCUGAUACAGCCAUACCGCGUGGGUGAAGAAGGCCUUCGGGUUGUAAAGCCCUUUUGUUGGGAAAGAAAAGCAGCAGGUUAAUAACCCGCUGUUCUGACGGUACCCAAAGAAUAAGCACCGGCUAACUUCGUG
rnacentral:rRNA from 1 species